CCAAUUCCAUCUGAGGGGACAUGAUUUAGACACUUCUUUUCCCAAAGGUAAGAUUUAGCUCUUACAUGCUGGAUGGGUUGUCCCUGUAAUUUCCUCAAAUACGAGAAAAUUCACUGCAGUGUCUGUGGUAGUAUGGAACUGCAUUUGUGCUUCACCCUG
rnacentral:snRNA from 1 species